GAUGAACGCUGGCGGCGUGCCUAAUACAUGCAAGUCGAGCGCUAAAGGUUGGUACUUGUACCUACUGGAUGAGCAGCGAACGGGUGCGUAACGCGUGCGGACUCUGCCGUUGAGCGGGGGACAACAUAUGGACACGAAUGAUCAUACCGCAUCAGAACUUCACACACACGUUUUAAGUUAGAAAGAUGCAAUUGCAUCUCCCAACGACGUUUUCGCGUUGUAUUAGCUGGUUGGUGCGGGAAAGGCUCACCAAGGCGAUGGUACAUAGCCGACCUGAGAGGUGGAACGGCCACGGUGGGACUGGGACACGGCCCAAAAGCCGACGGGGAGCAGCCGUAGGGAAUCUUCGGAAAUAGACGAAAGGCUGACCGGGCAACGCCGGGUGAGUGGAGAAGGUUUUCGGAUCGUAAAACUCUGUUGGUAGGGAAGAACGAGGGUGAGAGUGAAAAACGCAUAAAGUGACGGUAACUACACAGAAAGGGACGGCUAACUACGUG
rnacentral:rRNA from 1 species